rnacentral:rRNA from 1 species
CAACGUAGGUAAUUUGCCUUUGGGUGGGGAAUAACUCAGGGAAACUUGAGCUAAUACCGCAUAAUGCAGCGGCAUUUAAGUAUGACAGUUGUUAAAGCGGAGGAUCGUAAGACUUCGCGCCUAAAGAGAAGCCUGCGGCAGAUUAGCUAGUUGGUAAGGUAAUGGCUUACCAAGGCGACGAUCUGUAACCGGUCUAAGAGGACGGUCGGUCACACUGACACUGAAUAACGGGUCAG